GAUGAACGCUGGCGGCGCGCCUAACACAUGCAAGUCGAACGGCACCCCUCUCCGGAGGGAAGCGAGUGGCGAACGGCUGAGUAACACGUGGAGAACCUGCCCCCUCCCCCGGGAUAGCCGCCCGAAAGGACGGGUAAUACCGGAUACCCCCGGGCGCCGCAUGGCGCCCGGGCUAAAGCCCCGACGGGAGGGGAUGGCUCCGCGGCCCAUCAGGUAGACGGCGGGGUGACGGCCCACCGUGCCGACAACGGGUAGCCGGGUUGAGAGACCGACCGGCCAGAUUGGGACUGAGACACGGCCCAGACUCCUACGGGAGGCAGCAGUGGGGAAUCUUGCGCAAUGGGGGGAACCCUGACGCAGCGACGCCGCGUGCGGGACGGAGGCCUUCGGGUCGUAAACCGCUUUCAGCAGGGAAGAGUCAAGACUGUACCUGCAGAAGAAGCCCCGGCUAA
rnacentral:rRNA from 1 species